CCCUUGGUUGCUCUGACUGUUAGACACAUGCAGCUCAGUUACCGACCCUGGGUCACACCGUACCUGCGCAGUGUCUUGGAGGGGAAGUCCCAGAGGGCCACGGUACCAUCAGAGAGAGAUGGAGAGAAGGCACAGCAGCUGACCUCGUCCGUGUGGUGUCGAAGAGUGCAAAUUACUGACACCAUCUUGUUUGUUAGGCACUGCCGGGGGAGCGGUUUCAAUCACAAGGUGGCGCAAAAUGCUCAAAUAACCGCCUUUGAAACGAACGAGAGGAGUGACACCUGAUGGGAAGCUGCGUAUCCUGACAGCUUUCUGUCUGUCCCGUGAGCUUUUGCCGCAUGCUGUGCAGAUUCGUUGUGUUAUCCAUGCUUUUUUUUUAAGAUGCUUAUGCAUUUUUAAAGGAUCAAAUAAAUUCAACCACAGUAGUUUUUAUGACACUGAAUGAGACGCCAUGCAACCUUAAAGACUGAUCUUCAUGAAGAAGGACGUCUUUAGUGCAAUGGAUUUCUGCAGCUGCUGAAUGCAGAGUGACAACUGAGCUGAGCUGCGGACUUCACAGAGGGCUUUACGCCACAACCUCAUCCCUGGAGCCACCUCUUCCUCGCUGCUUAGAGGUCACAGAGAGUAAGACUGUGGUGUAACUGGACAGCAUUCACAUACACAGUCUGUGACAUUAUCACACUGAAUGACCGAAAGUAAAGAAGGAAAUAGUCUUUAGUAGGGCUGAACGAUUUUGAAAAAAAAUCUGUAAUUGCGAUUAUUUUGACUGAUAUUGUAAUUGUGAUAUACUAUGUGAUAAUGGGGGUAAUCAUAAUUAUUACAUAAUUAUCCACAUUUUCAUUGAAAAACAUAUUAAAAUGAAUUAUGGUGUGA